rnacentral:rRNA from 1 species
GGGGAAUAUUGCGCAAUGGGGGAAACCCUGACGCAGCGACGCCGCGUGAAGGAAGAAGGCCUUCGGGUUGUAAACUUCUUUGAUCGGGGACGAAGAUGACGGUACCCGAGGAACAAGCCACGGCUAACUACGUGCCAGCAGCCGCGGUAAUACGUAGGUGGCGAGCGUUGUCCGGAAUUACUGGGUGUAAAGGGCGUGUAGGCGGGGCGUCAAGUCAGGUGUGAAAUUCUGGGGCUUAACUUCGGGUAUGCACCUGAAACUGAUGCUCUUGAGUGUCGGAGAGGAAAGUGGAAUUCCCAGUGUAGCGGUGAAAUGCGUAGAGAUUGGGAGGAACACCAGUGGCGAAGGCGGCUUUCUGGACGACAACUGACGCUGAGGCGCGAAAGCGUGGGGAGCAAGC